AAUAAGUUUCAUCUUCCUCAAAAUGGUGCCCAGGGCUGGUUCCAUCCUCCUGACACUCACUAGUAGGAGAGCUGAAAACCGCGGACAGGGAUGCUCAUGGCCUCAGAACCCUUUGACUUUGUCCAGUGGAGGGGAUGGGACAAGCCCGUGACCAUUCCUUACUCUGGCAGCCUCCGACAGCCUGACACUCCUAUUAGCCCAGGGGAGUAAACAGACCCACAGCUGUCUAUAAAAAGCCGGAAACAGUUCUGUUUCCAUUCAAGGUGGAUGACUGGGGGGUGCGUGGGAGGGGGCGAGGACCGCUACAUCUGGGCGAGGGCGGAGAUGAUCUGCUGCCUCUGACGCUUCUGUUGUUAUCCCGAAGAAGGGCUUUCUUCAUCCUAGAGACUCGGGUUCUUUGUUUCCUGUGGCAGAGUGGCCAAGAACUGAAUACUACUGGGGUGCCCAUCAUUUAGGAAUGGCUGAAGAGAUUAUGGUACAUGAAUGGAACGGAAUAUGAUCUAGUUGAAAAAAGUGAAGAAACUGUUUCAAAGAGACAUAAAAAGGUCUGUAUGAGCUGAUGCAAAGUGAACUGAGCUGUCGUUAUCAUCAUUGCCUGUAAAUUGGUAGUUUUUCACCUCCAUAGAAUCAGUGUAAAG
rnacentral:lncRNA from 1 species